UUCUAAAGUCCUUCAGUUUGUACAUGGAAGUAGCCUGAAUCCUCAAUUUAUUGUAUUUGAUGGUUCUUGCAACUGUAAGACCCCCAAAGGAAGACCCUCACUCAAAUCUCGGGAAUAGCACGCACCCAGUAAGUCCCCGAGACCG
rnacentral:pre_miRNA from 11 species